UACGUAGGGAGCAAGCGUUGUCCGGAAUCAUUGGGCGUAAAGCGCGCGUAGGUGGCCAUGUAAGUCCGCUGUGAAAGUCAAAGGCUCAACCUUUGAAAGCCGGUGGAUACUGCAUGGCUAGAGUACGGAAGAGGCGAGUGGAAUUCCUGGUGUAGCGGUGGAAAUGCGCAGAUAUCAGGAGGAACACCAAUAGCGAAGGCAGCUCGCUGGGACGUUACUGACACUAAGGCGCGAAAGCGUGGGGAGCGAACAGG
rnacentral:rRNA from 1 species